rnacentral:rRNA from 1 species
GUUAAGCGACUAAGCGUACACGGUGGAUGCCCUGGCAGUCAGAGGCGAUGAAGGGCGUGCUAAUCUGCGAUAAGCGCCGGUAAGGUGAUAUGAACCGUUAUAACCGGCGAUACCCGAAUGGGGAAACCCAGUGUGAUUCGUCACACUAUCAUUAACUGAAUCCAUAGGUUAAUGAGGCGAACCGGGGGAACUGAAACAUCUAAGUACCCCGAGGAAAAGAAAUCAACCGAGAUUCCCCCAGUAGCGGCGAGCGAACGGGGAGGAGCCCAGAGCCUGAAUCAGCAUGUGUGUUAGUGGAAGCGUCUGGAAAGGCGCGCGAUACAGGGUGACAGCCCCGUACACAAAAGCGCAUGUGCUGUGAGCUCGAUGAGUAGGGCGGGACACGUGGUAUCCUGUCUGAAUAUGGGGGGACCAUCCUCCAAGGCUAAAUACUCCUGACUGACCGAUAGUGAACCAGUACCGUGAGGGAAAGGCGAAAAGAACCCCGGCGAGGGGAGUGAAAAAGAACCUGAAACCGUGUACGUACAAGCAGUGGGAGCACCCUUCGGGGUGUGACUGCGUACCUUUUGUAUAAUGGGUCAGCGACUUAUAUUCUGUAGCAAGGUUAACCGUAUAGGGGAGCCGGAGGGAAACCGAGUCUUAAUUGGGCGUUAAGUUGCAGGGUAUAGACCCGAAACCCGGUGAUCUAGCCAUGGGCAGGUUGAAGGUUGGGUAACACUAACUGGAGGACCGAACCGACUAAUGUUGAAAAAUUAGCGGAUGACCUGUGGCUGGGGGUGAAAGGCCAAUCAAACCGGGAGAUAGCUGGUUCUCCCCGAAAGCUAUUUAGGUAGCGCCUCGUGAAUUCAUCUCCGGGGGUAGAGCACUGUUUCGGCUAGGGGGCCAUCCCGGCUUACCAACCCGAUGCAAACUGCGAAUACCGGAGAAUGUUAUCACGGGAGACACACGGCGGGUGCUAACGUCCGUCGUGAAGAGGGAAACAACCCAGACCGCCAGCUAAGGUCCCAAAGUCAUGGUUAAGUGGGAAACGAUGUGGGAAGGCCCAGACAGCCAGGAUGUUGGCUUAGAAGCAGCCAUCAUUUAAAGAAAGCGUAAUAGCUCACUGGUCGAGUCGGCCUGCGCGGAAGAUGUAACGGGGCUAAACCAUGCACCGAAGCUGCGGCAGCGAACGUAUCACCCAAGACAACUUUACGGAGUUGACGAUUGACGGAGCGAAGCGACGUCAAAGCGUUCAUUAAAGUCGAGUUGGCUUAGGGAUACGUUCGUUGGGUAGGGGAGCGUUCUGUAAGCCUGUGAAGGUGUGUCGUGAGGCAUGCUGGAGGUAUCAGAAGUGCGAAUGCUGACAUAAGUAACGAUAAAGCGGGUGAAAAGCCCGCUCGCCGGAAGACCAAGGGUUCCUGUCCAACGUUAAUCGGGGCAGGGUGAGUCGACCCCUAAGGCGAGGCCGAAAGGCGUAGUCGAUGGGAAACGGGUUAAUAUUCCCGUACUUGGUGUUACUGCGAAGGGGGGACGGAGAAGGCUAUGUUGGCCGGGCGACGGUUGUCCCGGUUUAAGCGUGUAGGUGUGUGUUCCAGGUAAAUCCGGUUCACUUUAACACUGAGGCGUGACGACGAGGCACUACGGUGCUGAAGCAACAAAUGCCCUGCUUCCAGGAAAA